UACAGAGGUCUCAAGCGUUGUUCGGAUUCAUUGGGCGUAAAGGGUGCGUAGGUGGCGCUGUAAGUCGGGUGUGAAAUUUCGGAGCUUAACUCCGAAACUGCAUUCGAUACUGCGGUGCUUGAGGACUGGAGAGGAGACUGGAAUUCAUGGUGUAGCAGUGAAAUGCGUAGAUAUCUGGAGGAACACCGGUGGCGAAGGCGGCAUCCUGGACCGGUAUUGACGCUGAUGCGCGAAAGCCAGGGGAGCAAACGGG
rnacentral:rRNA from 1 species